CCGCGAGGACGACCUCGCGUUUUUCUGGGCGCUUUAGCCGGGACGACCUGG
rnacentral:ncRNA from 1 species